rnacentral:tRNA from 1 species
GGCUGUUAUAUUUUAAUUGUGUAAUAAGCGUUUCCUAAACGCUUGAUAUGGGUUCGAUUCCCGUCGGAGUCA